rnacentral:lncRNA from 1 species
UAAGUUUCACAUAUGUGUCUGUCUCACAAUUAAGAAGCAAACAGAUCCCAAUAGAUGAGUCGUGGCAUCUCCCAUGAUCUUCCACUGAUGUAACAUGAGGCCCUUGCCUGGAGUUUAAAGCUAGAUGUAAUGCAUUUUGAUUUGCCUCAUUAACUUUUAAAAUAUGCUUUGAAGCUGUUUUCUUAUUAUGAAGGUAAAUCAAGUUCACUAAAAAAAGAGGACAAAUAAAAAGACAAAAUAUUUAAUUUUUUAUCUAUGCUUUGAUAUUUCAUCCAAUUUAUUUUGAGCAGCCUCACCCAUCUCCCCCUUAACUCCUGUUAAUCUACCAUCUACCAUCUACCACCUCCUUGCUCAGUUUCAAUUUAAGCAUUUGAAUUAGUCAGGGUUCUGUAAAGUCACAGAACUUAUGGAAUGCCUCUCUCUGUUGAGGGAAUUUAUUGUGAUGAUUUGUAGUCCAACUAACCCAACAAAAUGGCAGCUGUGGAUGGGAAGUCCAAGAAUCUAGUAGGGGGUCAGUACCACAAGGUUAAUUGUUUCAGCUGGUCUUCUGUAGGAUUAAGUUCCAACAGAUGUGCUGUCAAGUAAGUGCAGUUUAUCUUCCUUCUUCCAAUGUCCUUAUGUAGGCCUCCAGUAAAAAGUGUGGCCCAGAUCUGGGACGUGCCUUGUCCGAGACUGACCUUGAAAUCAGAGGUCUUCUUGCCUCAGUCUUCUGUGAUUAAAGGCAUGUACUACCUUGCCUGGGCCUAAGCUUUUAAUGACUACUUUGCCUCAAGAUCUCCAUGCCAAGAUCCAGGUGAAAAACUUGUGAUUUCCAGCUUCAACAUCUGGAUCACAAGUGUGUCCUCCAAUUCUGGAUUGUAGUUCAUUCCAGAUAUACUCAAGGUGAUAACCAGGAAUAGACAUUACAGCAUUAUUAAUAUAUUUUACUGGUUUGUUUCAGUUUGUCUUUUCUUCUGUAUAUUUAAAAAUAUGUUAACCACUGCUUUUGAAAUUUUAGGCACUAUUUGAACCACUAGAUUUUUAAAAAAUCUUUGUCUCUUUUAGCUAGUCCCAUUGUUCUUAAUUUGAUAUAAUAUCUCACUCAACAGAAGGUAUAUAAAAUUGUAUGGGGGAAAAGAAGCUAGAAAAGGUUAGAGGUGUAAGACCUCGAGUCAGUUUUCCCCCUUUAAGUUCAAUUACAAGUACUAUUACAGGGUAAUUAGCAAUUCUUUAGGAAUUUACCAGACUCAGGCCUACCUGGAGGAGAGAAUCUAAUUGAAUAACAUCCAUUAGAUUGUAAAAAGGGCAAUUGGAUCUUAUCUUGAUUGGAAUGCCUAGUCCACUGUAGGUAGUCCCAUCACUAAUCAGGUGGGUCUGGGCUGUAAGAAGAGAACUAUUUGAGCAUGCCCAAGAAGCACACCAGAGAGCAGUUUCUUCAGUUUCAGGAUCCUGUUCCCUCUUGAAUACUUGCUGUAAAUUUCCUCAGUGAUGGAAUAAGUCAGGAGAGUGUAAACCAAAUAAACCCCUUAUCUCCAAGUUUAUUUUGGUCUAUGCUUUAUCACAGCAACAGAAAGCAAACUAUCUCUCAUGAAAACCCAGUUAGUGUACGUAUAGUUAUAACUGGCAGAUGGUUUGAAACUUUCAUUAUUUCUUGUCUGAGAGAAGCAGGGCUUUUUAGUUUAUGGUAAGAUAACCUAAGGGUAUGGAGAAGAAUGAGGUUGUGGCUACACACUUGACUCCUUUGGGAAUAUUUGUGUUUGCCACAGCCUUUCACCUUAACAUCUUGCCAAAACAUCUGCUGUCUCUUUAUGAAUCAACCCCCUUUCAUCUCAUAGGAAGCACAAUUCCUAUAUGUAUUCUGAUUUAUCUGGUUUUACAUACAUACACACACACAAUUUAAACACUAUAAUCGUCAUGACAUCUUCUAUUUGCCAAGUGUUGCGCACAACAUAGGAUGUAUAGAAUGUGGUUCCUUUUUGUCAUAGGUUUUGAGACAUAUCUCAAAAGUCUUCCAUUGGGACUGGAACCAGCUGCCCAGAAAACUCCAAAGAUUCUUCUAUAUAUCUCCUCAUUCCUGGGACUAUUGGCACAUGUUGUAGCCCCCUGAAUUUUAAUGUGGCUGCCAUGAAUCCAACCUAGGUUCUUAUGUUUGCAUGGACAGCACUUUACCAAACAAGCUAUUGUUCAAGCUCCCAAUUCAUACAUUUAUGGUUGAAUAAACAACUAAGAUAUUGGUAUAACUAGGACAUCUUAAGAUAUACUUAGGGUAGGGUUUUCAGAAAGGAAAUAGUGUAUCUGACACCAUAUUGGUUAACUUUUAACUAUUGGAAUAAAUCUCCAAAAAAUUAGGGAGAGAAAGAAUAGCAAAAAAACCAACCAACCAAACAAAC